rnacentral:rRNA from 1 species
GACGAACGCUGGCGGCGUGCUUAACACAUGCAAGUCGAACGGAAAGGCCCUGCUUUUGUGGGGUGCUCGAGUGGCGAACGGGUGAGUAACACGUGAGUAACCUGCCCUUGACUUUGGGAUAACUUCAGGAAACUGGGGCUAAUACCGGAUAGGAGCUCCUGCUGCAUGGUGGGGGUUGGAAAGUUUCGGCGGUUGGGGAUGGACUCGCGGCUUAUCAGCUUGUUGGUGGGGUAGUGGCUUACCAAGGCUUUGACGGGUAGCCGGCCUGAGAGGGUGACCGGCCACAUUGGGACUGAGAUACGGCCCAGACUCCUACGGGAGGCAGCAGUGGGGAAUAUUGCACAAUGGGCGGAAGCCUGAUGCAGCAACGCCGCGUGCGGGAUGACGGCCUUCGGGUUGUAAACCGCUUUCGCCUGUGACGAAGCGUGAGUGACGGUAAUGGGUAAAGAAGCACCGGCUAACUACGUGCCAGCAGCCGCGGUGAUACGUAGGGUGCGAGCGUUGUCCGGAUUUAUUGGGCGUAAAGGGCUCGUAGGUGGUUGAUCGCGUCGGAAGUGUAAUCUUGGGGCUUAACCCUGAGCGUGCUUUCGAUACGGGUUGACUUGAGGAAGGUAGGGGAGAAUGGAAUUCCUGGUGGAGCGGUGGAAUGCGCAGAUAUCAGGAGGAACACCAGUGGCGAAGGCGGUUCUCUGGGCCUUUCCUGACGCUGAGGAGCGAAAGCGUGGGGAGCGAACAGGCUUAGAUACCCUGGUAGUCCACGCUGUAAACGGUGGGUACUAGGUGUGGGGUCCAUUCCACGGGUUCCGUGCCGUAGCUAACGCUUUAAGUACCCCGCCUGGGGAGUACGGCCGCAAGGCUAAAACUCAAAGGAAUUGACGGGGCCCCGCACAAGCGGCGGAGCAUGCGGAUUAAUUCGAUGCAACGCGUAGAACCUUACCUGGGUUUGACAUGGAUCGGGAGCGCUCAGAGAUGGGUGUGCCUCUUUUGGGGUCGGUUCACAGGUGGUGCAUGGCUGUCGUCAGCUCGUGUCGUGAGAUGUUGGGUUAAGUCCCGCAACGAGCGCAACCCUUGUUCACUGUUGCCAGCACGUUAUGGUGGGGACUCAGUGGAGACCGCCGGGGUCAACUCGGAGGAAGGUGGGGAUGACGUCAAGUCAUCAUGCCCCUUAUGUCCAGGGCUUCACGCAUGCUACAAUGGCUGGUACAGAGAGUGGCGAGCCUGUGAGGGUGAGCGAAUCUCGGAAAGCCGGCCUCAGUUCGGAUUGGGGUCUGCAACUCGACCUCAUGAAGUCGGAGUCGCUAGUAAUCGCAGAUCAGCAACGCUGCGGUGAAUACGUUCCCGGG